rnacentral:rRNA from 1 species
AUUGAACGCUGGCGGCAUGCCUUACACAUGCAAGUCGAACGGUAACAGGUCUUCGGAUGCUGACGAGUGGCGAACGGGUGAGUAAUACAUCGGAACGUGCCCGAGAGUGGGGGAUAACGAGGCGAAAGCUUUGCUAAUACCGCAUACGAUCUCAGGAUGAAAGCAGGAGACCGCAAGGCCUUGCGCUCACGGAGCGGCCGAUGGCAGAUUAGGUAGUUGGUGGGAUAAAAGCUUACCAAGCCGACGAUCUGUAGCUGGUCUGAGAGGACGACCAGCCACACUGGGACUGGGACACGGCCCAGACUCCUACGGGAGGCAGCAGUGGGGAAUUUUGGACAAUGGGCGCAAGCCUGAUCCAGCCAUGCCGCGUGCGGGAAGAAGGCCUUCGGGUUGUAAACCGCUUUUGUCAGGGAAGAAACGCUCUGGGUUAAUACCCUGGAGUAAUGACGGUACCUGAAGAAUAAGCACCGGCUAACUACGUGCCAGCAGCCGCAGUAACAC